AUAAGAGUAGACUUCGGCCGCCACUCGGGCAAAAUUAUCAGGCAUUCACAUGGGUUCAAUUCCCGAGUUGGGAAGUUCUUCAUCGCAUAUCUCCGUCUGGGAUGUUGUCUCCCACUCAACUUGGUUUGGCCCUGACUUAUAGUCCACCUCAAGACUUAAAAACUGCGUCGAUAGGGGUGUAAAACAUAUUACGAUUUUUUUAAAAGACCAAAAUCCCAGGUUUACGAGGUGCAAAACUUAAUUGCAUUAGACAAAAACAAAAACAAACAAAACAAAAAUGCGAAAAGCUCAUUGACACAACAUAUUUUAAAAACACGAUAGUAAAAAAUAGUGAGGAGUUGAAGGUGCUGUUGACGACUGUUUCGGUAUUGUUAGGGCCUGGGUUUUUAUUAAGCUAUUUGCUUGGAUUUUACGGCAAGCCUGCACACUACAAACUGCAUAAUAUCACGAUUUGACCUGAGGCCACAUACCAAUACCAUAGCGUCUGCUGUGCUGCAGCGAUUUGGGGCCUCGCUGUCGCUUGCAGGAGACCCGAGUUCGAUUCCUGUUUGGGAAGACAUUUUUAUCAAGGAAUCAACUCACAGUCCAAUGAUGGUAUUCCAUGGGAUGAACAUUGUUGCUGCUGUUACAAAGCAACUGAAUUCAGGACAGACCCCGGUCAUGGUUGCUGAUCAGCCACUCUUUACAUUGGCAAAGAAGAUUCCGUGGAAAUUUUCAGGUGUCUUGGGAGAGGACAAGUUUGUGGUGAUGCUUGGGGCGCUGCACACUGAGCUUGCAUGCCUAGCCCGGAGGUGGGAGCCAACAAACUCGCUCGUGGUAGGCCUACUAUCUGCCGACGUUUUCUAAACUUGGACUGUGUCUGUGCGGGGGGAAAGAGGAAGAGAGACAGCAACGGAUGCAUCUCCUGUCACUGUCCAGACCCCAUUAUAUGGGACUUGGGGCACAAAUUAAUUGGGAAGAAAUAAAAAGUUAAAUUAGUCCUCUCCAACAUGACAUCUAUAAAAUGAGACCCCCCCCACCCCCCCGCAAAAAAGGAGAAUGCUUGACUUCGACGCUUGGCGUAGAUGACGGAAUCUUUCUCUACUUCUCUUCCAUUAUAACAGACGAAGUACAUCAUGUUUGUCUUGAACGAGAAGAAAAUAAAGGGAAUUCACUUAGA
rnacentral:lncRNA from 1 species